rnacentral:lncRNA from 1 species
AAUCCUGCAUUUUACAGUUGCUGUGCUUGGAGUCAUGGCAGUGCCUUUUGUGGAAGACUGGGAUUUGGUGCAAACUUUGGGAGAAGGCGCCUAUGGAGAAGUUCAACUUGCUGUGAAUAGAAUAACUGAAGAAGCUGUUGCAGUGAAAAUUGUAGACAUGAAGCGGGCCAUAGACUGCCCAGAAAAUAUUAAGAAAGAGAUCUGCAUCAAUAAGAUGUUAAAUCAUGAGAAUGUAGUGAAAUUCUAUGGCCACAGGAGGGAAGGCAACAUCCAGUACCUGUUUCUGGAGUACUGUAGUGGAGGAGAACUCUUUGAUAGAAUAGAGCCAGACAUAGGGAUGCCUGAACAAGAUGCUCAGAGGUUUUUCCAUCAGCUCAUGGCGGGGGUGGUAGGUUUAUCUUCAUGGCAUUGGAAUAACUCACAGGGAUAUUAAACCAGAAAACCUCCUCUUGGAUGAAAGGGAUAAUCUCAAAAUCUCUGACUUUGGCUUGGCAACAGUGUUUCGGCAUAAUAAUCGUGAGCGCUUACUGAACAAGAUGUGUGGGACUUUACCUUAUGUCGCUCCAGAGCUUCUAAAGAGGAAAGAAUUUCACGCAGAACCAGUUGAUGUUUGGUCCUGUGGAAUAGUGCUUACUGCAAUGUUGGCUGGAG